rnacentral:lncRNA from 1 species
CAGACCCAAGAAACUUCAAAAAAACCAUUGGUGUGAGUAAUAACUGAUGGCUGCAAAUUUAUUGAAUCCUUAAACAAUUUUAGUAUAAAUAUAAGUGUUAGUUGUUUGGUUUCACUUUCUCACGAUAUGGUGUUUCAAUUGGGCUUAUACAGAAGAUACUCAGUGUCCAGUACUCAGUCCCAGAUUAUGUACGAGUUUCCAUGGAAUGUAGACAUCUUCUAUCACAAAUAUUUGUGGCAAGUCCUGAAAAGGUAACGUAUUUAAUAUCUAGAAUCUUAAUUGUUUUCUGCAUCUAUAAAAUAGUUAUUAGAUAAAAGAUUUAAUUGCUUAAUUUCUGGAGCAAAAUGCUUAUAUAGAUGCUCUUCAUAUUUAUUCUCAGCUAACUUAAAAGUUCCAUGUUUUGGGCACAAUUCUAGCAAUGCUUAUUGUUUCUUCUAUUGAAAUGCAUUUAGUCUCCUUUCUCAUUGUAUUGAUCCAUUUAAGGCAUUUUACAGAGAAUAACAAUACCAGAAAUUAAAAACCAUCCAUGGUUUUUAAGGAACUUACCCAUAGAACUGAUGGAAACUGGAAGCUGGCAAAUAAAUGAUGUAAAUAAUCCAUCACAAAGUGUUGAGGAAGUGCUGUCUAUAGUACAAGAGGCUAGAAAAUCUCUUAAUGUUCCAAUUGUUGGUGGCCUUCUUAAUGGGGGCACCAUGGACCUUGAUGACUUGGAGGCUGAUGAAGAAGAUCUUGAGGAUGUAGAAACAAGUGGAGAAUUUGUGUGCCCUCUUUGAGUGUGUGUACAUGAACAAGCUAAGCUAUUGUUUGAUGUGAAAAUGUGAAUAGAUUUUUCUGUUAGGGCUGAAAUUCCUUAGUUUUUAAAUUAAGGGUUUUUUUUUCUUCUUAUUUUCAUUUUUCCCUCUGAAAUCCAUGUGCCG